rnacentral:rRNA from 1 species
CUACGGGAGGCAGCAGUAGGGAAUCUUCCACAAUGGACGCAAGUCUGAUGGAGCAACGCCGCGUGAGUGAAGAAGGUUUUCGGAUCGUAAAGCUCUGUUGUUGGUGAAGAAGGACAUGGAUAGUAACUGAUCUAUGUUUGACGGUAAUCAACCAGAAAGUCACGGCUAACUACGUGCCAGCAGCCGCGGUAAUACGUAGGUGGCAAGCGUUGUCCGGAUUUAUUGGGCGUAAAGCGAACGCAGGCGGGAGAACAAGUCAGCUGUGAAAGCCCUCGGCUUAACCGAGGAACGGCAACUGAAACUGUUUUUCUUGAGUGCAGAAGAGGAGAGUGGAACUCCAUGUGUAGCGGUGAAAUGCGUANAUAUAUGGAAGANCACCAGUGGCGAAGGCGGCUCUCUGGUCUGUAACUGACGCUGAGGUUCGAAAGCAUGGGUAGCGAACAGGAUUAAAUACCCUGGUAGUCCAUGCCGUAAACGAUGAGUGCUAAGUGUUUGGAGGUUUCCCCCUCUUAGNGCUNCANCAAACGCAUUAAGCUCCGCCCUGGGGAGUNCAACCGCAAGGUUUAAANUCAAANGAAUUAACGGGGGCCCNCNCAAACNGNG